CCCGUGCCUCGACACUGCGGGGACACAAAGGGGCCAAAGGAGGGGAGCGGCGGAGGCCGUGCUGGCGGGCACCCGCCCGGAAGUUGACGCGGCGCGAUCCCAGCUGAGAGGAAGCUGAUAGGAUCAAGAAAACACAGGGAAGGUUCAGAAGUGGGGAGUGUGCUGCGGCACCUCUUCUAACGCUCGCUCGCUCGCUAUCACUCUUCCCUUAGUACUCACGGUCUUGCAGCCUCGGUGCACUGUAACAAAGGUUGAAAAGCGAAGGUAAUUCCUGGCGUGGAGCGACGGUAGCCGGGCCGGGACCUUCUAUAAACGGAACGGAGAAGCCUAAUGAGCGCGUAGUGAUGACGCAACACGCAGCCUAAGCUUUUCUCUUCCCCAGCGACGUGUGAGUGGAAAAUGUCUAGGCGCGCGCUGUUGUCAUGGUAACCAAUACCCGCCUCUUUGCCUUGGGAGCUUGCUUGCGGCCUGUUUCUUCAGGCCUUCAGACUUGGGUCUCAGACUGGAACCACACCCCCGGCUUUCCUGGACUUCCAGCUUGCAGAGGGACUUCUCAGCCUCCAAAAUCGACUAUCUGGUCACGGAAGGAUGAAGAGAGCCCACAGCGCCUCCUCUGAGCUCCUCACGGCAAUCCACGUUGGUUAUGCUAUUCUCUGCUUGCUGAUAUUCUGGCACGAGAAGUCUGCUAUUGCCCACUUGAAGCAGCCAUUGAGUAUGGAAGUGUCAAGAGAAACCCUGCGAUUUUCCACGUGUGCCUGUGGCUUCCCUCCACUUCAGCACGCUGGGUGAGGUGCAGCAGCAGACCCGGGUCUUGUCUUUUAAGAACUAGGUUGUUAGGUGUGCAUCAAACUUGGUAGCCACAGCACUUUUUCAACAAGGCAAUUCACUGUGCAAACGCUAAACUUUAAAUUAGUUUGUAUUAUUAAUUUUUCACUUGUAGACCAUCAGAAGAUUUGGGGGAGAAAGGAUGGAAUAAAAGGAGGGAAUUAUGGACAUAGAAUUAACCAGACCACGUGUUUUGUGUCGAACUAAACAAUUAUUCAUCUUAACUCAAUCUUGGUCAAAGAGCCACUGUUUUCUUUCCGUAAUUUAACCGCCCAUUUAAAGUAAGACCUUGUUGGGACUUCGCCAGUGGUCCCGCCGUUAAGACUCCGUGCUCCCUGUGCAGGGGGCCCGGAUUCGAUCCCUGGUCAGGGAACUAGAUCCCACAUGCAUGCUGCAACUAAGACCCAGCGCAGCCAUAUAGAUAAAUAUUUUAAAUAAAUAAGACCUUGUUGGGGACUUCCCUGGUGGCGCAGUGGUUAAGAAUCCACCUGCCAAUGCAGGGGACACGGGUUCGAGCCCUGGUCCGGAAGAUCCCACAUGUCACAGAGCAACUAAGCCCAUGCACCACAACUACUGAGCUCACGCGCUUAGAGCCCGUGCGCCACAACAGGAGAAGUCACCGCAGUGAGAAGCCUGCGCACCUCAAUGAAGAGAAGCCUUCGCUCACCACAGCUAGAGAAAGCUGGCGUGCAGCAACAAAGACCCAAUGCAGCCAAAAAUAAAUAAAUAAAUAAAAAGACCUUGUUGAUUCAAAAUCCACUAAUUAAGAAAGGUUAUGUUAGGUGGUAACAAUAUAAAUAAUGUUAAAGAAUGAAUAUUAAGCUACUUGUGAAAAUAAAAUAUUUUAACACCUCUUCAAGAAGUUAAUAGGUCUUUAUAGCAUACAAAA